GGUUUUGGACCACCGCUUGUGUCGACUUUGGAGGAAGCAGCACCAGGCGCCCCAACAUGUUGAUGACGAUCAGUCGGAGCCAGCCAGGAAGCUGCGAUUGGCGAGAGGAACCCUGCAGGAGAAUGUUGACCAGGAUGAAGUCGAUACUGACGUGAGUGGGUGUCGAAAUGUUCACGACGGGUCGGAUGGAGCUGAGGUUGAAAACUGGCCUGAGAGCCUCCAGCAGGGCGAGGGAAUCGGGGCGAGAGCAGUUCGGCAUGAUGGAGUUGCAUGACCCUUUAACACCACGAGGCAUGAAUUAGGUAGACCCAAGUCAUCUAUUGGCUGGCCCAGAUGACGAUGAUGGUGAGGAAGCUGACAGAUAUGAAGAGGAUGUAGAAGCCAAACAGCAGGCGGUCUAUGAUGAAACCCACCUGGAUCCACUCCUCCGAGCUCUGGCUGACCCCUAACUGCUGCUCCACCUGCAGGCGGAUGACUUUCAGGGCAGACCAACAAGACCUCCCAGAGUCCGCAGAACAAGCGCGCGGACCCAGCGGGGAACGGGGCGCAGGUUUUUGGAGCCGAGCAGCAAGUUGGUGAUGAGGACAGUCUCCAGGAGGCUGGCCACCAUCAGAGCCAAGCACAGACAGAAGAAGACGUCUGGCGGGAAC